GUUAAGCGCAUUUAGCACUACCUUAAGGCCACACAACAGUAUGGUCUACUGCUUAUUAAGUCCAACACUAAUUAUAUUCAUAUGCACGGUGAUGCAAAUUAGGCAAGUAAUCCAGAUGAUCGUAAAUUUACAACUGGGUACACUAUUUAUAUGUGCAAUAACUUGAUUUCUUAGAAUACAAAGAAGCAAGCCAUUGUUGCCAAAUCCUCAACUGAAGCCGAGUAUCUAGCAAUAGGUGCUGUGACACAAGAGCUCAUGUGGUUGUGCUUCCUACUACGUGAUAUUGGAUUCUCUACAUCUCAACCACCAGUCUUGUGGUGUG
rnacentral:misc_RNA from 1 species